UAUGGAAUAGCUCAAUUGGCAGAGCGAGAGUUUCAUGAGCUCCAGGUUAUAGGUUCAAGUCCUAUUUCCAUCA
rnacentral:tRNA from 1 species